rnacentral:rRNA from 1 species
AGUGAACGCUGGCGGUAGUCCUAACACAUGCAAGUCGAACGUCAGCACAGUAAGAGCUUGCUCUUACGGGUGGCGAGUGGCGGACGGGUGAGGAAUACAUCGGAAUCUACUUUUUCGUGGGGGAUAACGUAGGGAAACUUACGCUAAUACCGCAUACGCCCUACGAGUGAAAGCAGGUGAUCUUCGGACCUUGCGCGAUUGAAUGAGCCGAUGUCGGAUUAGCUAGUUGGCGGGGUAAAGGCCCACCAAGGCGACGAUCCGUAGCUGGUCUGAGAGGAUGAUCAGCCAAACUGGAACUGAGACACGGUCCAGACUCCUACGGGAGGCAGCAGUGGGGAAUAUUGGACAAUGGGCGCAAGCCUGAUCCAGCCAUACCGCGUGAGUGAAGAAGGCCUUCGGGUUGUAAAGCCCUUUUGUUGGGAAAGAAAAGCAGCAGGUUAAUACCCCGCUGUUCUGACGGUACCCAAAGAAUAAGCACCGGCUAACUUCGUG